UACAGAGGGGGCAAGCGUUGUUCGGAAUUACUGGGCGUAAAGGGCGCGUAGGCGGCCUGCUAAGUCGGACGUGAAAUCCCUCGGCUCAACCGGGGAACUGCGUCCGAUACUGGCGAGGCUUGAAUCCGGGAGAGGGAUGUGGAAUUCCAGGUGUAGCGGUGAAAUGCGUAGAUAUCAGGAGGAACACCGAUGGCGAAGGCAGGUCUCUGGGCAUUAACUGACGCUGAGGAGCGAAAGCAUGGGGAGCGAACAGG
rnacentral:rRNA from 1 species